rnacentral:rRNA from 1 species
UACGUAGGGUGCAAGCGUUGUCCGGAAUUAUUGGGCGUAAAGAGCUUGUAGGCGGUUUGUCGCGUCUGCUGUGAAAUUUCGGGGCUCAACCCCGAACUUGCAGUGGGUACGGGCAGACUAGAGUGUGGUAGGGGAGACUGGAAUUCCUGGUGUAGCGGUGAAAUGCGCAGAUAUCAGGAGGAACACCGAUGGCGAAGACAGGUCUCUGGGCCAUAACUGACGCUGAGAAGCGAAAGCAUGGGGAGCGAACAGG